ensembl:lncRNA
AAGUUAUGGAAUGCUAAAGUGGUAAGGCCAAAAAAAAAAAAAAAUGUUUUAAGAACUGCAUUUAUCCAAAAUAAAGGAGGUAUCAUGUAAACACAGUGAUUGUGUAGUGCAGGAUAUAAAGGAUUUAAGUUAAUCUGGGAGUAUUUACCCAUGUAUGAGGUAAAACAAAACCAAAACCAAAAAAAAUCAAUAAAAAUAAGAUAGUAUUUUUGUAACUGAGCUGAGCAACUUUUAUAAAUAAACAAGAAAACUUUAAUCGUAAUCCUGUAUAAUAUUUACAUUUGUAGAUUAAGUGAUGAAUUGUAUUAAUGUUGAUCAUAUUAAUUUUAGUAAAUAUCCUGAAACAUAUGCAAUACAUUUCGUGUAGGCCAGGCAGGAAGUCCACUUUGGUGUUUGGUGACGCAGCUCUGCCACCUUGAGGUCAUGAUAGUGACAUUGCAACUACAAUUUUGGUGAGACGUGCUCACUGUGCGCACAGUACACACUUUGAAAAUGGUGCUUUUAAUAUGGAAGACAGAGGGCCUUUUAAAAUAUUGAAAUUGCAUGUUUAUUACGUUUCUAUGCCUUAUGAGAUUUCUACCAUCUGAGCAGUGACGGAGCUGAAGACAGACACAUAAUUCGUGCUUGAAUGCGACAGACGGGUGAGCGCUUUUACCUGAGUGACGAGAUGGACGGUCAGCUGAUCACUGUUUGACAAAAGGCUACAGGUCAUCGGCCCCAUUCACUGUAUUGGGAUCCCUCACAGCAAAACUUCCAGGACAAGUCCAGUGUCAAAUUCCAAGACAGAGUCUCGGUACGGCCUGGAUCCUCAGCUUCUACCCAGUGUGGUCCAUGUGAUUAAAGAGGACAGGAUCCAGUUGGAGGAGAAAGUGUUUGUUUCAGAAUCCAAAUCUUCAGUUCCCCCUUUCUCCUCAACACAAUGCACCCUGGAGGACAGAGCUGCUGCCCAGUUUAGCCAUAUUAUCUUUUGACUUGAUAGAUUCACAUGAAAAAUAAAUGUGAUGCACCUGGCUUUUGUAUCA